rnacentral:lncRNA from 1 species
CCAUUAAGCCUUAGCCCAUGUAUUCCAAAAGCCACUCACCAUACCUCCCAUAUGCUCUGGCCCACUUAUGCACACACAAAUCCAUUACAUAUUAAUAAGCCAACCUGCGGUAUUUAACACAACUUCGCAGCCCAUCAUUGGCCCAACUCCAUAUACAUACACACAGCCCCAACUUACUCCAACAAUUGUUCUUAUAGCAUCCAGCAUCAAUUCGUCUUCCAUUUUAAGAUGCCUGCGAUUCUUAAAGAAGGUGGCCUUUAGGCCUUGCACUGGACAGGCUCAAAGGAAUUGAGACCAACAAUUUGAACUACUGCCUCAGUUCCAAUGGCCUCAGUUUUUAUCACAUACGGAAGCUUUACAAAGGGACAGCAUCCAAGAACAACAUCUGCACAAAAAGGUCCUCCGCAAAAGAUUUAUAUUGGUGUAAUUGAGGACCUUUCUCAGUUAUGGCCAACCUGUGGAUGAGGAGAGUUGAGGAUAAAU